GACGAACGCUGGCGGCGUGCUUAACACAUGCACGUGGAACGGUAAGGCCCUCCGGGGUACACGAGUGGCGAACGGGUGAGUAACACGUGGGUCAUCUGCCCUGCACUUCGGGAUAAGCCUGGGAAACUGGGUCAAAUACUGGAGCGGACCACUGCAUGCAUGGGCGGGGGAGGCAAGCUGUGGCGGUGUGGGAUGGGCCCGCGGCCUAUCAGCUUGUUGGUGGGGUGAUGGCCUACCAAGGCGACGACGGGUAGCCGGCCUGAGAGGGGGACCGGCCACACUGGGACUGGGAUACGGCCCAGACGCCUACGGGAGGCAGCAGUGGGGAAUAUUGCACAAUGGGCGCAAGCCUGAUGCAGCGACGCCGCGUGAGGGAUGACGGCCUUCGGGUUGUAAACCUCUUUCAGCACCGACGAAGCGCAAGUGACGGUAGGUGCAGAAGAAGGACCGGCCAACUACGUGCCAGCCGCCGCGGUAA
rnacentral:rRNA from 1 species